GCUAGUGACAGAGUGAGGGACAGUGUGACUAGUGACAGAGAGAGGGAGGGGGUGACUAGUGACAGCGUGAGGGAGGUUGUGAUUAGUGACAGAGGGAGGGAUGGGGUGACUAGUGACAGUCACCACCUCGUUCACUCUGUCACUAGUCACCCCCUCCCUCACUCUGUCAUUGUGUCAACCCCUUCCUCACUCUGUCACUAGUCACCCACUCCCUCCCUCACUCUGUCACUAGUCAGC